UACGGAGGGGGCUAGCGUUGUUCGGAAUUACUGGGCGUAAAGCGCACGUAGGCGGCUUUGCAAGUUAGAGGUGAAAGCCCGGGGCUCAACUCCGGAAUUGCCUUUAAAACUGCAUCGCUAGAAUUGUGGAGAGGUAAGUGGAAUUCCGAGUGUAGAGGUGAAAUUCGUAGAUAUUCGGAAGAACACCAGUGGCGAAGGCGGCUCGCUGGACCGGUUCUGACGCUGAUGCGCGAAAGCGUGGGGAGCAAACGGG
rnacentral:rRNA from 1 species